UACGGAGGAGGCAAGCGUUAUCCGGAAUUAUUGGGCGUAAAGCGUCCGCAGGUGGCACCUCAAGUCUGCUGUCAAAGACCGGGGCUUAACCCCAGAAAGGCAGUGGAAACUGAAGUGCUAGAGUGCAGUAGGGGUAGAGGGAAUUCCCGGUGUAGCGGUGAAAUGCGUAGAGAUCAGGAAGAACACCGGUGGCGAAAGCGCUCUGCUAGGCCGCAACUGACACUGAGGGACGAAAGCUAGGGGAGCGAAUGGG
rnacentral:rRNA from 1 species